AUACUUCUGUAGUUCAUAAGCAUGAUGAUUGGGUUUUCAUGCACCUGCGUGAGAUGUGCCUCCCACAAAUCCCUUAUGAGGUCAGCACAUUACCCGUCUGACA